GACGAACGCUGGCGGCGUGCUUAACACAUGCAAGUCGAACGCGCCUGUCCUCUGGGUUUCUGGGGGGUGGGUGAGUGGCGAACGGGUGAGUAACACGUGAGUAACCUGCCCCCUUCUUCGGGAUAACGGUCUGAAAGGGCUGCUAAUACCGGGUAUUCACUGGUCUCCGCAUGGGGUCUGGUGGAAAGGUUUUUUUCUGGUGGGGGAUGGGCUCGCGGCCUAUCAGCUUGUUGUGGGGGUGAUGGGCCACCAAGGCUUUGACGGGCAGUCGGCCUGAGAGGGUGAACGGGCACAUUGAGACUGAGAUACGGCCCAGACUACUACGCGAUGCAGCAGUGUGGAAUAUUGCCCAAAGGGCGCAAGACUGAUGCAGCGACGCCGCGUGAGGGAUGGAGGCCUUCGGGUUGUGAACCUCUUUCGCCCGUGGUCAAGCCGCGACGUGGGUCGUGGUGAGGGUAGUGGGUAAAGAAGCGCCGGCUAACUACGUG
rnacentral:rRNA from 1 species